rnacentral:rRNA from 1 species
GACGUAGGUGGCGAGCGUUGUCCGGAUUUACUGGGCGUAAAGGGCGUGCAGGCGGUUUGCUAAGUCUAGGGUGAAAGCUCCCGGCUCAACUGGGAGAGGUCCUUGGAUACUGACAGACUUGAGGGAGGCAGAGGAGAAUGGAAUUCCCGGUGUAGUGGUGAUAUGCGUAGAUAUCGGGAGGAACACCAGUGGCGAAGGCGGUUCUCUGGGCCUUACCUGACGCUGAGACGCGAAAGCGUGGGGAGCGAACCGG